rnacentral:rRNA from 1 species
ACUUCUGAAUAAGUAUACAAAACAAAUAGGUUGUCUUUUAAUACAUGUAUUUAAUGUAUGUUUAAAGGAUGAUUAUAAACCUUUGAGACACAGGUUUCCGAAUGGGGCAACCCGGUACACUGAAGGUGUACCAUACCGUAAGGUAAGCAAACGCAGGGAACUGAAACAUCUUAUUACCUGCAGGAGAAGAAAACAAAUGAGUGAUUCCCCUGGUAGCGGCGAGCGACCGGGGAACAGCCCAAACCCACUCUGUUUCGGCAUAUUGGGGGUUGUAGGACUGCGACAUAGGAGAAGUAAAUGAAAUGGAAUGCUUUGGAAAAAGCCAUCACAGAGGGUGAUAAUCCCGUACAUGCAAAUUUACGAUUCUUAGCAGCAUCCUGAGUAAGGCGGGACACGUGAAAUCCUGUCUGAAUCCGCCGGGUCCAUCCGGCAAGGCUAAAUACUCGUGAGAGACCGAUAGUGAACCAGUACUGUGAAGGAAAGGUGAAAAGCACCCCAAAUAGGGGAGUGAAAUAGUUCCUGAAACCGUACGCCUACAAGCAGUCGGAGCCCUUCUUGGGGUGACGGCAUGCCUUUUGCAUAAUGAGCCUACGAGUUACUCAUCACUGGCGAGGUUAAGUACUUCAAGGUACGUCAGCCGAAGCGAAAGCGAAUCUGAACAGGGUGUUUAGUCAGUGGUGGUAGACGCGAAACCUUAGUGAUCUACCCAUGUGCAGGUUGAAGGUUUGGUAACACAAACUGGAGGACCGAACCGAUAAGCGUUGAAAAGCUUCCGGAUGACAUGUGGGUAGGGGUGCCUCUGUUUUAGUGUAUAAGAGGUAGAGCUACUGAUUGGAUGCGAGGGCUUCACCGCCUAUCAAAUCCGGCCAAACUCCGAAUGCUUAUACAUGUUUACAGGGAGUGAGCCCACGGGUGCUAAGGUCCGUGGACGAAAGAGGAAGAACUCAGCCCAUCAGCUAAGGUCCCCAAUUGUAUCCUGAGUUGACAACGGAACGCGGUGUAACUGCCUUGACAGCUGGUAUGUUGGCUUGGAAGCAGCCAUUCAUUUAACGAGUGCGUAACAGCUCACCAGUCGAGUGGUUCUGCAUGGAUAAUACUCGGGCAUAAGGAUACAACCGAAGCUAUGGACUCAUGAUUAAUUUCAUGAGUGGUAGGAGAGCAUUCCAUUGCAGCGUCGAAGCCAUAUCGUGAGAUAUAGUGGAGCGGAUGGAAAAGCAAAUGUAGGCAUAAGUAACGAUAAUGCGGGUGAGAACCCCGCACGCCGAAAGGUCAAGGAUUCCCCGGCAAUGUCAUUCAUCCGGGGGUUAGUCGGGUUCUAAGGUGUAGCCGAUGGGCGAAGCCGAUGACCAACAGGUUAAUAUUCCUGUACUCAAUUAUACUGCGAUGCAGCGACGAAGCGGUGAUAAUGCUGCGCACUGACGGAAUAGUGCGUUGAAGCCCGUACCCCUUGAGGUUGGUAGUCAAGUACGCCAUCCGAGGCGAAAGGCGAUAGUACCCCAAAGCUCCGGCUGCGGGGAUAAUGCAUGUAAUCUUACUUCCAAGAAAACCUGCUCAGCUUCAGGUAUAAUUGACCCGUACUGUAAACGGACACACGUGACCGCGUAGAGUAUACUAAGGCGCACGAGCUAUUCAUGGCCAAGGAACUAGGCAAAAUAGACCUGUAACUUCGGGAUAAAGGUCGCUCACGUGAGUGAGCUGCAAUAAAUAGGCCCAGGCGACUGUUUAUCAAAAACACAUGGCUAUGCUAAAUCGCAAGAUGACGUAUAUGGCCUGACACCUGCCCGGUGCCGGAAGGUUAAGAGGAGAGCUUAGGAUUAAUCCGACGGUUUGAAUUGAAGCCCCGGUAAACGGCGGCCGUAACUAUAACGGUCCUAAGGUAGCGAAAUUCCUUGUCGGGUAAGUUCCGACCUGCACGAAU